GUUACAGGCCUGGCUUCCAGCUGCCGCGGAUCUAGAGAGGGGCACAGCCUGACGGGAAAGGAAGGCUGGGAGGGGGCUCCGCCAGCGGCACCUGGUUCACCCUCCCACGGCUGCGCCAGGUUCAGUACCAUCCUCGGAGCCUGGACGCCCAGUUUCCCAGGGCCUGUAGAACUGACUCAGAGUCCGACCCCAGCAGAGACGCAGGCGUGCUGAGGUUUUGAUAUCAAACAAGAUAGGGUUCAGACCAGAAGGCACAGCAAAAAAGGACGCUUUGUAAAGCUAAAAGCUGCAGUUCAUAGGGUUAAAUAACAG
rnacentral:lncRNA from 1 species